GUGGGCCUACGGAGCUAACACUCAUCACCCUGUGACAUACCUAUAACGUUGCCUCGGCGGGAACAGACGGCCCCGUAACACGGGCCGCCCCCGCCAGAGGACCCCCUAACUCUGUUUCUAUAAUGUUUCUUCUGAGUAAACAAGCAAAUAAAUUAAAACUUUCAACAACGGAUCUCUUGGCUCUGGCAUCGAUGAAGAACGCAGCGAAAUGCGAUAAGUAAUGUGAAUUGCAGAAUUCAGUGAAUCAUCGAAUCUUUGAACGCACAUUGCGCCCGCCAGUAUUCUGGCGGGCAUGCCUGUUCGAGCGUCAUUACAACCCUCAGGCCCCCGGGCCUGGCGUUGGGGAUCGGCGGAAGCCCCCUGCGGGCACAACGCCGUCCCCCAAAUACAGUGGCGGUCCCGCCGCAGCUUCCAUUGCGUAGUAGCUAACACCUCGCAACUGGAGAGCGGCGCGGCCACGCCGUAAAACACCCAACUUCUGAAUGUUGACCUCGAAUCAGGUAGGAAUACCCGCUGAACUUAAGCAUAUCAAAAAACCGGGAGGAA
rnacentral:rRNA from 1 species